rnacentral:rRNA from 1 species
UGCAAGUCGAGCGGACCGAAGGGAGCUUGCUCCUUUAGGUUAGCGGCGGACGGGUGAGUAACACGUGGGCAACCUGCCCUGCAGACUGGGAUAACUUCGGGAAACCGGAGCUAAUACCGGAUAACACCGAAAACCGCAUGGUUUUCGGUUGAAAGGCGGCUUUUAGCUGUCACUGCAGGAUGGGCCCGCGGCGCAUUAGCUAGUUGGUGAGGUAACGGCUCACCAAGGCGACGAUGCGUAGCCGACCUGAGAGGGUGACCGGCCACACUGGGACUGAGACACGGCCCAGACUCCUACGGGAGGCAGCAGUAGGGAAUCUUCCGCAAUGGACGAAAGUCUGACGGAGCAACGCCGCGUGAGCGAAGAAGGUCUUCGGAUCGUAAAGCUCUGUUGUCAGGGAAGAACAAGUACCGUUCGAACAGGGCGGUACCUUGACGGUACCUGACGAGGAAGCCACGGCUAACUACGUGCCAGCAGCCGCGGUAAUACGUAGGUGGCAAGCGUUGUCCGGAAUUAUUGGGCGUAAAGCGCGCGCAGGCGGUUCCUUAAGUCUGAUGUGAAAUCUCGCGGCUCAACCGCGAGCGGCCAUUGGAAACUGGGGAACUUGAGUGCAGGAGAGGGGAGCGGAAUUCCACGUGUAGCGGUGAAAUGCGUAGAGAUGUGGAGGAACACCAGUGGCGAAGGCGGCUCUCUGGCCUGUAACUGACGCUGAGGCGCGAAAGCGUGGGGAGCGAACAGGAUUAGAUACCCUGGUAGUCCACGCCGUAAACGAUGAGUGCUAAGUGUUAGAGGGUAUCCACCCUUUAGUGCUGCAGCAAACGCAUUAAGCACUCCGCCUGGGGAGUACGNCCGCAAGGCU